GCUCACACUUCUAUAAGAACCCCUUGUAUGAUCUUUCCUUUUGAUCUCUUUUCUCUUUCUUUUCUUAAUCAAUUUGUAAACUGUAUUAGAAUAGUGCUUAAUCUGUUAAUCAGUAGUAUGCCUGUUACAUUACAAAUUGAUUCAUUGCAUUUAAGACCUGAGUGCCUAGUUAUUAGACCCCCACACUUGAAUGUGUAGUUAAGGCCUGAGUGCCCUCAUUGUUAGUUAAACAGGUAGUUACAUCUGAGUGUCUGCAGCACAGCAAAGUGCUUAUGAAGAGGUCUGAGUGUCUAUAAGCUAUAACACUGUGAAUAGUGUUCACAAAGAAGCUUGCAAGCUUAGAGCCACAAUGCUGUGAAUAGUGUUUGUGAAG
rnacentral:sRNA from 1 species